UACGUAUGGUGCAAGCGUUAUCCGGAUUUACUGGGUGUAAAGGGAGCGCAGGCGGCACGGCAAGCCUGAUGUGAAAGCCCGCGGCCCAACCCCGGGACUGCUCUUGGAACUGCAUGGCUGGAGUACAGGAGGGGCAGGCGGAAUUCCUAGUGUAGCGGUGAAAUGCGUAGAUAUUAGGAGGAACACCGGUGGCGAAGGCGGCCUGCUGGACUGUAACUGACGUUGAGGCUCGAAAGCGUGGGGAGCAAACAGG
rnacentral:rRNA from 1 species